GACAACAGUGACAUGUUGACUUGACUGUAGUAGUAGUAGCCACUACUACAACAGUCAAGUGUUUACAAAGCUUAUAGCUGUGCUCCUAAAGCCUGUCUCUGGACUCCGUACAAGACCUCCGGGUUGGGACACUAAUGGGUCCGUACGGAGUAGACCGAGCUGUUCAUUCCAUGGAGUUCACAGACUGUGAGAAUGGCCUGGGAAUAAAAGUGAUUGGAGGAGUGAAGGAGGUGACCGGAGAGGAGUUUGGAGUCUACGUCAAACGGAUUUUACCAGGUGGCCUUGCUUCAGCCGAUGGUAACCUGAUGCCAGGGGACCAGAUCUUGGAGGUGAAUGGGGACAGUCUAGUUGGAGUCACAAGUGAAAGAGCUGUGGACGUCUUGAGAGCAGCCUCUGCAACCAAUCACAUGCGCCUUCUUAUAGCCAGAGACGAGGAAGCAAAGAGGGAAUUUGCUGAGCUGAUGGAGAAAUAUGGAUCCAAUGGUAGCACGGGAUCAACACGCAACUCUCCCAUCCAGCAAGGAGGUCGCUACCUGGAUAGCACAUCAUCGGGUUCCUCGUCCCGCUCCCAGAGUCCUUUGCUGCUGAGUCCAGCAGGCUCUCAGAACAUGUACAACAACAGUGGGCCUAUGAUGCGCUCCCUCAGGUAA
ensembl:lncRNA